AAUCAACGCUGGCGGCGUGCCUAACACAUGCAAGUCGAACGCGAAAGGGACUUCGGUCCUGAGUAGAGUGGCAAACGGGUGAGUGACGCGUGGGUGAUCUGCCUUUUAGAGGGGAAUAACCAGAAGAAAUUUUGGCUAAUGCCGCAUACGAAGCACAAAUCCUAGAGUAGUGCUUGAAAGAAUGCCUCUGCAUAUGCAUUCACUAAAAGAUGGGCCUGCGGAACAUUAGCUAGUUGGUGGGGUAAAGGCCUACCAAGGCAACGAUGUUUAUCCGGUCUGAGAGGAUGAUCGGACACACUGGAACUGAGACACGGUCCAGACUCCUACGGGAGGCAGCAGUGGGGAAUAUUGCGCAAUGGGGGAAACCCUGACGCAGCAACGCCGCGUGAGUGAGGAAGGACUUCGGUCUGUAAAGCUCUGUUAAUGAGGAAAAAUGGUAGUUGGUCUAAUAGGCCGAUUAUUUGAUGGUACUCAUAGAGGAAGCACCGGCUAACUUCGUGCCAGCCGCCGCCGUAAGAC
rnacentral:rRNA from 1 species